rnacentral:rRNA from 1 species
UACGUAGGCGACAAGCGUUGUCCGGAUUUACUGGGCGUAAAGAGCGCGCAGGCGGUCGAUCAAGUCGAGUGUGAAAGCCCCCGGCUCAACUGGGGAGGGUCAUUCGAUACUGAUCGACUCGAAGGCAGGAGAGGGUAGUGGAAUUCCCGGUGUAGUGGUGAAAUGCGUAGAUAUCGAGAGGAACACCCGUGGCGAAGGCGGUUCUCUGGGACGGUACUGACGCUGGAGACGCGAAAGCGUGGGGAGCGAACAGG